AGAGUUUGAUCAUGGCUCAGAUUGAACGCUGGCGGCAGGCCUAACACAUGCAAGUCGAGCGGUAGCACAGAGAGCUUGCUCUCGGGUGACGAGCGGCGGACGGGUGAGUAAUGUCUGGGAAACUGCCUGAUGGAGGGGGAUAACUACUGGAAACGGUAGCUAAUACCGCAUAACGUCGCAAGACCAAAGAGGGGGACCUUCGGGCCUCUUGCCAUCAGAUGUGCCCAGAUGGGAUUAGCUAGUAGGUGGGGUAAUGGCUCACCUAGGCGACGAUCCCUAGCUGGUCUGAGAGGAUGACCAGCCACACUGGAACUGAGACACGGUCCAGACUCCUACGGGAGGCAGCAGUGGGGAAUAUUGCACAAUGGGCGCAAGCCUGAUGCAGCCAUGCCGCGUGUAUGAAGAAGGCCUUCGGGUUGUAAAGUACUUUCAGCGAGGAGGAAGGCAUUGUGGUUAAUAACCACAGUGAUUGACGUUACUCGCAGAAGAAGCACCGGCUAACUCCGUGCCAGCAGCCGCGGUAAUAC
rnacentral:rRNA from 1 species